UAUGGCCAUAUCACAUUGAAACAUUGGUUCCUGUAUGAUCGCCAAUGUUAAGCAAUGUCGAGUCUGGUUAGUACCUAGAUGGGUGACCUCUUAGGCAUAUCAGGUACUGUAAG